rnacentral:rRNA from 1 species
AGCAGCCGCGGUAAUUCCAGCUCCAAUAGCGUAUAUUAAAGUUGUUGCAGUUAAAAAGCUCGUAGUUGAAUUUCGGGGUUAGUAGGUUGGUCAUGCCUCUGGUAUGUACUGGUCUCACUGAUUCCUCCUUCCUGAUGAACCGUAAUGCCAUUAAUUUGGUGUUGCGGGGAAUUUGGACUGUUACUUUGAAAAAUUAGAGUGUUUAAAGCAAGCUAACGCUUGAAUACAUUAGCAUGGAAUAAUGAAAUAGGACGUUCGAUCCUAUUUUGUUGGUUUCUAGGAUUGACGUAAUGAUUAAUAGGGAUAGUUGGGGGCAUUAGUAUUCAAUUGUCAGAGGUGAAAUUCUUGGAUUUAUUGAAGACUAACUACUGCGAAAGCAUUUGCCAAGGAUGUUUUCAUUAAUCAAGAACGAAAGUUAGGGGAUCGAAGACGAUCAGAUACCGUCGUAGUCUUAACCAUAAACUAUGCCGACUAGGGAUCGGAUGAUGUUAAUUUUUAAUGACUCAUUCGGCGCCUUACG